rnacentral:rRNA from 1 species
CAUACAGUCCUCGCUUUUUCUGCACCGUAAGGAGGUGCAGGAAUAAGGGCUGGGCAAGACCCGGUGCCAGCCGCCGCGGUAAUACCGGCAGCCCGAGUGAUGGCCGAUAUUAUUGGGCCUAAAGCGUCCGUAGCCGGCCGGACAAGUCCGUCGGGAAAUCCGCACGCUUAACGUGCGGGCGACCGGCGGAAACUGUCCGGCUUGGGGCCGGAAGACCCGAGGGGUACGUCCGGGGUAGGAGUGAAAUCCCGUAAUCCUGGACGGACCGCCGGUGGCGAAAGCGCCUCGGGAAGACGGACCCGACGGUGAGGGACGAAAGCUGGGAUCUCGAACCGGAUUAGAUACCCGGGUAGUCCCAGCUGUAAACGAUGCCCGCUAGGUGUGGCGCAGGCUACGAGCCUGCGCUGUGCCGUAGGGAAGCCGCGAAGCGGGCCGCCUGGGAAGUACGUCCGCAAGGAUGAAACUUAAAGGAAUUGGCGGGGGAGCACUACAACCGGAGGAGCCUGCGGUUUAAUUGGACUCAACGCCGGACAUCUCACCGGCCCCGACAGCAGUGAUGACGGUCAGGUUGAUGGCCUUACCCGACGCUGCUGAGAGGAGGUGCAUGGCCGCCGUCAGCUCGUACCGUGAGGCGUCCUGUUAAGUCAGGCAACGAGCGAGACCCGCACCCCUAGUUGCCAGCAGCACCCACUGGGUGGCUGGGUACACUAGGGGGACUGCCGCUGCCAAAGCGGAGGAAGGAGCGGGCAACGGUAGGUCAGUAUGCCCCGAAUGGGCCGGGCAACACGCGGGCUACAAUGGCCGGGACAGUGGGACGCGACCCCGAGAGGGGAAGCUAAUCUCCUAAACCCGGUCGUAGUUCGGAUUGAGGGCUGAAACUCGCCCUCAUGAAGCUGGAUUCGGUAGUAAUCGCGCUUCAGAAGAGCGCGGUGAAUACGUCCCUGCUCCUUGCACACACCGCCCGUCAAAGCACCCGAGUGGGGUCCGGAUGAGGCCCG